GGGUUGUGAGGUUAAGCGACUAAGCGUACACGGUGGAUGCCCUGGCAGUCAGAGGCGAUGAAGGACGUGCUAAUCUGCGAAAAGCGUCGGUAAGGUGAUAUGAACCGUUAUAACCGGCGAUGUCCGAAUGGGGAAACCCAGUGCAAUUCGUUGCACUAUCGUUAACUGAAUACAUAGGUUAACGAGGCGAACCGGGGGAACUGAAACAUCUAAGUACCCCGAGGAAAAGAAAUCAACCGAGAUUCCCCCAGUAGCGGCGAGCGAACGGGGAGCAGCCCAGAGUCUGAAUCAGCUUGUGUGUUAGUGGAACGGUCUGGAAAGUCCGACGGUACAGGGUGAUAGUCCCGUACACCAAAAUGCACAGGCUGUGAACUCGAAGAGUAGGGCGGGACACGUGGUAUCCUGUCUGAAUAUGGGGGGACCAUCCUCCAAGGCUAAAUACUCCUGACUGACCGAUAGUGAACCAGUACCGUGAGGGAAAGGCGAAAAGAACCCCGGCGAGGGGAGUGAAAAAGAACCUGAAACCGUGUACGUACAAGCAGUGGGAGCACCUUCGGGUGUGACUGCGUACCUUUUGUAUAAUGGGUCAGCGACUUAUAUUCUGUAGCAAGGUUAACCGUAUAGGGGAGCCGCAGGGAAACCGAGUCUUAACUGGGCGUUAAGUUGCAGGGUAUAGACCCGAAACCCGGUGAUCUAGCCAUGGGCAGGUUGAAGGUUGGGUAACACUAACUGGAGGACCGAACCGACUAAUGUUGAAAAAUUAGCGGAUGACUUGUGGCUGGGGGUGAAAGGCCAAUCAAACCGGGAGAUAGCUGGUUCUCCCCGAAAGCUAUUUAGGUAGCGCCUCGUGAAUUCAUCUUCGGGGGUAGAGCACUGUUUCGGCUAGGGGGUCAUCCCGACUUACCAACCCGAUGCAAACUACGAAUACCGAAGAAUGUUAUCACGGGAGACACACGGCGGGUGCUAACGUCCGUCGUGAAGAGGGAAACAACCCAGACCGCCAGCUAAGGUCCCAAAGUCAUGGUUAAGUGGGAAACGAUGUGGGAAGGCACAGACAGCCAGGAUGUUGGCUUAGAAGCAGCCAUCAUUUAAAGAAAGCGUAAUAGCUCACUGGUCGAGUCGGCCUGCGCGGAAGAUGUAACGGGGCUAAACCAUGCACCGAAGCUGCGGCAGCGACACUAUGUGUUGUUGGGUAGGGGAGCGUUCUGUAAGCCUGCGAAGGUGUGCUGUGAGGCAUGCUGGAGGUAUCAGAAGUGCGAAUGCUGACAUAAGUAACGAUAAAGCGGGUGAAAAGCCCGCUCGCCGGAAGACCAAGGGUUCCUGUCCAACGUUAAUCGGGGCAGGGUGAGUCGACCCCCUAAGGCGAGGCCGAAAGGCGUAGUCGAUGGGAAACAGGUUAAUAUUCCUGUACUUGGUGUUACUGCGAAGGGGGGACGGAGAAGGCUAUGUUAGCCGGGCGACGGUUGUCCCGGUUUAAGCAUGUAGGCUGGUUGUCCAGGCAAAUCCGGAUAAUCAAGGCUGAGGUGUGAUGACGAGGCACUACGGUGCUGAAGUAACAAAUGCCCUGCUUCCAGGAAAAGCCUCUAAGCAUCAGGUAACAUCAAAUCGUACCCCAAACCGACACAGGUGGUCAGGUAGAGAAUACCAAGGCGCUUGAGAGAACUCGGGUGAAGGAACUAGGCAAAAUGGUGCCGUAACUUCGGGAGAAGGCACGCUGGUGUGUAGGUGAAGUCCCUGCGGAUGGAGCUGAGACCAGUCGAAGAUACCAGCUGGCUGCAACUGUUUAUUAAAAACACAGCACUGUGCAAACACGAAAGUGGACGUAUACGGUGUGACGCCUGCCCGGUGCCGGAAGGUUAAUUGAUGGGGUUAUCCGUAAGGAGAAGCUCUUGAUCGAAGCCCCGGUAAACGGCGGCCGUAACUAUAACGGUCCUAAGGUAGCGAAAUUCCUUGUCGGGUAAGUUCCGACCUGCACGAAUGGCGUAAUGAUGGCCAGGCUGUCUCCACCCGAGACUCAGUGAAAUUGAACUCGCUGUGAAGAUGCAGUGUACCCGCGGCAAGACGGAAAGACCCCGUGAACCUUUACUAUAGCUUGACACUGAACAUUGAGCCUUGAUGUGUAGGAUAGGUGGGAGGCUUUGAAGCGUGGACGCCAGUCUGCGUGGAGCCAACCUUGAAAUACCACCCUUUAAUGUUUGAUGUUCUAACGUUGGCCCCUUACCGGGGUUGCGGACAGUGUCUGGUGGGUAGUUUGACUGGGGCGGUCUCCUCCCAAAGCGUAACGGAGGAGCACGAAGGUUAGCUAAUCCUGGUCGGACAUCAGGAGGUUAGUGCAAUGGCAUAAGCUAGCUUGACUGCGAGCGUGACGGCGCGAGCAGGUGCGAAAGCAGGUCAUAGUGAUCCGGUGGUUCUGAAUGGAAGGGCCAUCGCUCAACGGAUAAAAGGUACUCCGGGGAUAACAGGCUGAUACCGCCCAAGAGUUCAUAUCGACGGCGGUGUUUGGCACCUCGAUGUCGGCUCAUCACAUCCUGGGGCUGAAGUAGGUCCCAAGGGUAUGGCUGUUCGCCAUUUAAAGUGGUACGCGAGCUGGGUUUAGAACGUCGUGAGACAGUUCGGUCCCUAUCUGCCGUGGGCGCUGGAGAAUUGAGGGGGGCUGCUCCUAGUACGAGAGGACCGGAGUGGACGCAUCACUGGUGUUCGGGUUGUCAUGCCAAUGGCACUGCCCGGUAGCUAAAUGCGGAAGAGAUAAGUGCUGAAAGCAUCUAAGCACGAAACUUGCCCCGAGAUGAGUUCUCCCUGAGACUUUAAGUCUCCUGAAGGAACGUUGAAGACGACGACGUUGAUAGGCCGGGUGUGUAAGCGCAGCGAUGCGUUGAGCUAACCGGUACUAAUGAACCGUGAGGCUUAACCUUACAACGCCGAAG
rnacentral:rRNA from 1 species